rnacentral:rRNA from 1 species
UACGGAGGGUGCAAGCGUUAUCCGGAUUUACUGGGUUUAAAGGGUGCGUAGGUGGAUAAUUAAGUCAGUGGUGAAAUCUUCAGGCUUAACCUGGAAACUGCCAUUGAUACUAUUUAUCUUGAAUACUUUGGAGGUAAGCGGAAUAUGUCAUGUAGCGGUGAAAAUGCUUAGAUAUGACAUAGAACACCAAUUGCGAAGGCAGCUUACUACACAGUAAUUGACACUGAGGCACGAAAGCGUGGGGAUCAAACAGG